rnacentral:rRNA from 1 species
AAUGAACGCUGGCGGCAGGCCUAACACAUGCAAGUCGAACGGAAGCGCAGUAAGAGUUUGCGCUUCCGGGUGGCGGGUGGCGGACGGGUGAGGAAUACAUCCGAAUCUACUUUUUGGGGGGGGAUCACGUAGGUGAAGUUACGCUCAUAUCGCAUCCGACCUACGGGUGAAAGCAGUGGAUCUUCGCACCUUGCGCGAUUGAAUGCGCCGAUGCUGGGGUAGCUAGUUGGCGGGGUAAAGGCCCACCAAGGCGACGAUCCGUAGCCGGCCUGAGUGGAUGGUCGGCCACACUAGAGCGUAGACACGGUCCAGGGGCCUACGGGAGGCAGCAGUCUGGAAUGGUCGACAAUGGGCGCAAGCCUGGUCCAGCCAUACCACGUCGGUGGAGAAGGCCUUGGGUUUGGAAAGCCCUUUUGUGGGGAAAGAAAAGCAGCAGGUUAAUACGCCGCUGUUCUGACGGUACCCAGAGAAGAAGCACCGGCUAACUUCGUG